UGCCAGACUCCUACGGGAGGCAGCAGUGGGGAAUAUUGCACAAUGGGGGGAACCCUGAUGCAGCGACGCCGCGUGGGUGAAGGAGCACCUCGGUGCGUAAAGCCCUAUCGGCAGGGAAGAAAAGCGAACAGGUUCGCCUGGACGGUACCUGACUAAGAAGCCCCGGCUAACUACGUGCCAGCAGCCGCGGGAAUACGUAGGGGGCUAGCGUUAUCCGGAAUUACUGGGCGUAAAGGGUGCGUAGGUGGUUUCUUAAGUCAGAGGUGAAAGGCUACGGCUCAACCGUAGUAAGCCUUUGAAACUGGGGAACUUGAGUGCAGGAGAGGAGAGUGGAAUUCCUAGUGUAGCGGUGAAAUGCGUAGAUAUUAGGAAGAACACCAGUGGCGAAGGCGGCUUUCUGGACUGAAACUGACGCUGAGGCACGAAAGCGUGGGGAGCGAACAGGAUUAGAUACCCCCGUAC
rnacentral:rRNA from 1 species